UUCAUUUAGGGAUAAAUACAACCCCAGAAUUUGACUUUGAUUAUACAACCGAAAUAGUUUCAACAUCGCAAGAAACUGACUUGGGAUCAAAAACUGAUGUUGUAUGCAGUGGUUCCUAUAUGACCGUUUACUUGGACGCUUCCCUUGAAAACGCCAACAAUGCGCACUUCAUUGAUUCUUCGUGUACUGCCGCUGGGUAUGUUUAUCGAAACGGCAUUCGAUGGAUCUAUCUUUACACUCGUUAUGACCAAUGUCAAACCU